AACGAACGCUGGCGGCAGGCUUAACACAUGCAAGUCGAGCGCCCCGCAAGGGGAGCGGCAGACGGGUGAGUAACGCGUGGGAAUCUACCCAUCUCUACGGAAUAACGCAUGGAAACGUGUGCUAAUACCGUAUACGUCCUUCGGGAGAAAGAUUUAUCGGAGAUGGAUGAGCCCGCGUUGGAUUAGCUAGUUGGUGGGGUAAGGGCCUACCAAGGCGACGAUCCAUAGCUGGUCUGAGAGGAUGAUCAGCCACACUGGGACUGAGACACGGCCCAGACUCCUACGGGAGGCAGCAGUGGGGAAUAUUGGACAAUGGGCGCAAGCCUGAUCCAGCCAUGCCGCGUGAGUGAUGAAGGCCCUAGGGUUGUAAAGCUCUUUCACCGGUGAAGAUAAUGACGGUAACCGGAGAAGAAGCCCCGGCUAACUUCGUGCCAGCCGCCGCAGUAAUAC
rnacentral:rRNA from 1 species